rnacentral:antisense_RNA from 1 species
CUUGACGCUGCCGAGCCACAACGGCUCGUCCGCGCGGUCCUGUCCGUAGGUGGCCAGCAGGGCCUGCGCCUC